CGGCGCGCUUACUCAUGCAAGUCGUGCGCGAAAGUUCCUUCGGGGGGCGAGUAGAGCGGCGAACGGGUGAGUAACACGUAAGCAACCUGCCUCCAAGUUCGGGAUACCUGUGCCAACGCGGGGCUAAUACCGGAUGUGGUCACGAAUCCGCAUGGUUUUGUGACUAAAGCUGACCUCUGCUUGCACGUUAGCGCUUGGAGAUGGGCUUGCGGCCCAUUAGCUUGUUGGUGGGGUAAUGGCCUACCAAGGCGACGAUGGGUAGCCGACCUGAGAGGGUGAUCGGCCACAUUGGGACUGAGAUACGGCCCAGACUCCUACGGGAGGCAGCAGUAGGGAAUUUUGCGCAAUGGACGAAAGUCUGACGCAGCGACGCCGCGUGAGCGAUGAAGGUCUUCGGAUUGUAAAGCUCUGUUGAGUGGGAAGAAAACCUUCGGGGACAAUACCCUCGGAGCUUGACGGUACCACUCGAGGAAGCCCCGGCUAACUACGUGCCAGCAGCCGCGGUAAUACGUAGGGGGCUAGCGUUGUUCGGAAUCACUGGGCGUAAAGGGAGUGUAGGCGGGAAGGUAAGUUAGGAGUUAAAUUCACAGGCUUAACCUGUGGCCUGCUCUUAAUACUGCCUUUCUUGAGUAUGGGAGAGGGUGAUGGAAUUCCAGGUGUAGCGGUGGAAUGCGUAGAUAUCUGGAAGAACACCAGUUGCGAAGGCGGUCACCUGGCCCAAUACUGACGCUGAGGCUCGAAAGCUAGGGGAGCGAACCGGAUUAGAUACCCUGGUAG
rnacentral:rRNA from 1 species